UACGAAGGGUGCAAGCGUUAAUCGGAAUUACUGGGCGUAAAGCGUGCGUAGGCGGUUCGUUAAGUCUGUCGUGAAAGCCCCGGGCUCAACCUGGGAACUGCAGUUGAUACUGGCCGACUAGAGUACGAGAGAGGGAGGUAGAAUUCCAUGUGUAGCGGUGAAAUGCGUAGAUAUAUGGAGGAAUACCAGUGGCGAAGGCGGCCUCCUGGCUCGAUACUGACGCUGAGGUGCGAAAGCGUGGGGAUCAAACAGG
rnacentral:rRNA from 1 species